CUGCAAACUUCAAAGACGUCGUGAAGACAAUAUUCAAGCGGUUGUUCCGUGUUUACACACACAUUUAUCACUCUCAUUUCCAGAAGAUUGUGAGCCUCAAGGAAGAAGCACAUCUCAACACCUGCUUCAAGCAUUUCAUUCUUUUCACUUAUGAGUUUGGGUUGAUCGACAAGAAGGAAAUCACCCCGCUGCAGGAGCUGAUUGAGUCCAUCGUUCUAUAAGUUUGUUGCUAAUCUAAAGCACUUAAAUGAUCUUUCAGGUAAUCAAUCUUAUUUCACUGCUAAGUUUCUCUCGAGUGGCUUGUAUGUUGAUGAUGCAUUGUUUAUUACACAUAAUUAAUGAGUAAAUAUUAAUAU